CGCAUUAACUACUGUAAGUCGCUCUAGAUAAGAGCGUCUGCUAAAUGACUAAAA
rfam:Salmo salar isolate Sally breed double haploid chromosome ssa16, whole genome shotgun sequence.